UGUCAACCUUGAGCCUAGGUAUCCACA
rnacentral:piRNA from 1 species